rnacentral:tRNA from 6 species
GCCGAAGUGGCGGAACUGGCAGACGCGCCAGAUUCAGGGUCUGGUGUGGGCAACCACGUGGGGGUUCAAAUCCCCCCUUCGGCACCA